UCUGUUAUUAACUAAUGACACUAAAUACUAUGAUGAUUUGUAUGAUUAUAUAUUUAGUCUAUAUGAUAACGUUUUAUUCAUUUUAUUACUUUUAUCAAAUGAAAAUAAUACAUACCAUGAUAAUACAUACCAUGAUAACAUGUACAAAAAAGACAACAAUAAUAGUGUAAAUGAAAAUGUGAUUGCUAAGGGGUUAGUAGUAGAAUUAAAAAAAGACCUGAACAUAAAAAAUUCAUUAUAUAAUAAGGUAAUAGUUCUUAAUAAAUAUUUUUAUGUUAAUAAAUUUUUUUUAAGAUUAACUAUAAGUGAUGAUAUAUAUGAUUUACAUGAACUGCUUAAGAAAUAUUCAUCUGAAAAUAUAAAUAAAGAGAAUGAUUACCUGAUUUAUAAUAUUAUUGAAAACAAAACAGAUUUGGACAUAUUAAUAAGUAUAUUAAAUAGUAAAAAAAAAAUAAUAGGUUUUGCCUGGUUAAAAAAAAACAUAGAUCUUAAUAUUUUAGUUAACUUAUACAAUUUAAAGGAUUACAACUAUCUUAUGAAAAAAGAAUUUUUUUCAGAAAUAUCCAAGCAACUGGUAUUGUUCCUUUUUUUUUUUAUUUUUUUUUCUAUAUACAAAAAAAAAUAAAAAAUAAAAAAUAAAAAAUAAAAAAUAAAAAAAUUGAACAUAUAAGCAUAUAAACAUGCAAAUAUAGUCGUAUGUAAAAAAAAAAGAAAAAAAAAAAAAAAGAAAAAGUGUACAUCUUAAAACAUGUUACAUGUUCUACUAUAUUUUCCCCUUUUAGAAAUCAUACAAAAGCAGUGACAAGAAUUUAAAAAAAAAAAAAAAGAAAUACAUGUUUGUUGAAUUUAAGCAAUAUAUUUUAAAAAACAUAAAAUUAGAAUCUCUAGAUUGUUUAGAAAAAAAAUACGAAAUUAAAGAAGAACUUAUUUAUGAAUUUCUGAGUGAACAUAUAAUUCACGAUGUGGACAUAUAUGCCGAUUAUUUUAUAAAACAAAAUAUAGAUAUAAAUAAGUUAAUAAAAAACAUUUAUAGUAAGCUAGAAUAUGAUUACGAACACUUUAAACGCGAUUCUGGAAGUAACAUACAUCUUGCUAGCUUAAACAAGUUAAUAAGUUUGUGUUCACAUAUAAGUUUUACAGAUGUAGCCAAAGUUUGCGAAAAGUUUCACAAACAUUUCGAAAAAAUCGAAAUGCUAUAUUUUAAUUUUAAUAAUGAUAAAACAUAUAAAAAAAUAUACGAAAACAUCAAAAAGCUAAGACACACAAAAAAAAAUGAUGAAUCAUUUAAAACAGGUAGUAAAAGAAUAAAUACCAUGAAAAUGAACCGAGUUAAUAGCAUUAAAAAAUCACAAAAAGAUUUUAAAGAUGUAAUAACUUUGUCUUACUACGAUAUUUUUUUGUUACUAGAAAACAUUUACCCUGAUACUUUUAAAAAGGUAAGUGCAAAAAAAAAAUGUAGCUAAUAAGAACGAUUAAAACGGUAAAAAAAGAAAAAUGGUAAAAAAUAUGACCCUUC
rnacentral:lncRNA from 1 species